GGGGGUUCAGAGGAGCAAAACGCAUGCAGACAGUCCCCAUCACAUUAUUGUAGACCUGACAUACCGCCAAGAAGGAUAACGGCAUUAUGUACUCUGAACGACUAUGGCGGAGAAGAUGACUUAGAUGCUAUUCUCCCGUUCUGUACGAACGUUUUUUCAAACACACCGAGAACCGAGGAUUUAAACAUCCCGUCAACUCCCCCGAACCUCCACCCGCUCGCUCCAUAUUCCAGACCCAAACAAACAAUGAACAACUCGGGCGCAAGUACAUUGCGCAGAAUCAUCCCAGACCGAAAAGUGCUACUUGGCAGGGAAUUUACUGCUUCAAGAAAUGGACACGGUUUGAAGCCAUUAUAUAUAUAUAUUAGUUAUACAUAUUUUAUUAUUUAUACAUUUUUUGAUGAUUGAAUAUGUUAAAACAAUGACAAAUUAUGUUUUUUCAGACUCCAACGAGACAUGCCCGGCAGAAUCUGGAAUACCUGGUGAAAAAAGUCAAGAGCCCCCGGAUUCCGCGAUUCGUCAGAACAGCCCUCGUCAAAAAAGCCGAGACUCCUCCCCGGCGUUUAACGGCAUACACCUAAAGCACGUGGAGGUUUUCGGCUCCCCGGACAUUCACAAUGAAACAACGAAACCGGAGGAUUUCACCGUUUUAAAUUACAUUUCAGAGGUAGACGACCUGCUAUUACGCAAUCCGAUUAAAAAACGCAAAUACAGGCGCUAAAAACAUAUAUGUAACAUGUAUCCUUCCAGAAUACCACAAGAACACACAUCAUUAAUUAUCCAAAUGGCUGAGCCAACAGACAUAAUUGAGACAGUUGAAACCCUGUAAUCCCAGAUACCAUUCGAACUCCAAGAUAUAAUUAACCAGAUGAGUGAGGCUGAGGUAACAGACAUAAUACCGAUAGAGGAAAACAUAUCAUCCCAGAUACCGCCCGAACUCAUAGAAAUAAUUAAUUGUAUGAAUGAGUCAGGGGCUACCGAUGAAAACCGGUUAUCCCAGAUCCCCGACGCCCUCAUAUCGUUAAUUAACCAGAUGAAUGAGAGCAUAGGAUCUUCUACACCGGACACCCCACAGACCCCGCCAUUAACGCCCAUGUCUGAAGAGUCUGAAAUGCAGUACGAUGUUUUUGAGGAAUUGGAAAAUUGUCUAAUAAAUCAGGAGGGAGAUGGUAUUGAUAGAAGUGUCCGUGUUGUGUACCGAAAUAAAUUCUGCAAUUCAGCGAUUCGACAGUUUUUCAAUUUCACAUGGGUGAAUCAGAAUCUUGACUAUGCAGUGUUUUAUGUGAUGAUAUUGGAUACUCUGAACGAACUGUUAGACAGGGCAAGAGAUUAUGGCGAACCUCGUAAUGUCUUACAGUUGGAAAUUUGUGGAGAUGUGUAACAGUAUAACUUUAAACCGUCCCCUCGCCCCGACACGGGCGCGAACCAGGGACCCUCUGCACACAUCAACAACAGUCACCCACGAAACGUCGUUACCCAUCACUCCACAAAAGCCGCGGCCCUUGCAGAGCAAGGGGCAACACUACUAAUAGGUUUCAGAGCAAGUGACGUAACUGAUUGAAACGCUACUAGCGCGUACCCGCUAACUAGCUAGCCAUUUCACAUCCGUUACCGAUGCAUAACACUGUAUCUCUUAUUUUACCCAAUGGUGAAGCAGAUCUUGAACAAUGUAUAGCCCUGCUGGAACGACUUGAUCAGUCAAAUGUAUCCGUCAUAGCCGAUAGGACCCUCGAGCUUGUAGUGCAAAUAAUACGUCAACCCCUGGGUGGCGGGGGUCAGAGAAGGAAACUAGAUAGCAUAAUGCAAUCAGAAAUCAUAAGCAAUAAAAGGGCAUAUCCCAUAAACGUUCACAAUCCUGGUAAUAAGCUAUGCUUUUCAACAGGCCUAGCACAUUUACUCAACCCUGGAUGUACGGAUCUAGAGGCGUUACACAAGGCUAGAGAGCUCCAAACGGCCGUGGGUCUAGGUAUACAGGAUGCGGUGGCUUUCUCGGAAAUAGUCAAAUUUGAAAACUUUCUGAACAUCAAGAUUGUGGUUUUGUACCACAGUAGAGCUUAUGCAGCUGUCUUGAAAUUCCAAAAACAACCCACAACCUCAUCCUCAGAUUCUGUACUUUUAUGUGCAAAACGCCCACUAUUAUGCCGUUACUAACAUCACAGCGUUUUUAGGCGCACCAUAUGUGUGUCCAUCCUGCCAUACCGGCUACACCCGAAUGGGGGGGCACUCGUGCCGUUAUAACUGUUCAGUAUGUCUGGAUGAAAAUUGUCCGAUGCAACCCUUAAACCUGACACCCUGUGCGGAUUGUCACCGCACAUGUCGUUCGGCCUACUGUUACGAAAAACACAACAUUUAAACAUGGCACCCCAAGGCCUGUAAAUCUGUAAGCAGUUGUGAGAUUCUUUACAGGCUACUUACGGGUUAAAAUUGGAUGUGAUGUGGGAGCAUGAAUGGAUCGCACUCAAAAAGUCUGAUCCUCAUGUUCGAGACUUCCUUUCCAGCUUUGACACACCAGAACCCUUGGAACCAUGACAGGCCUUGUAUGGAGGCCGUACCAAUGCUUUGACAUUGAGGUAUGUAGCGCAACCCAACGAGACAAUAGGAUAUGUAGAUUUUACAUCCCUUUAUCCUCAUGUAAUGAGUUCCUCCUGCUAUCCUAUGGGGCAUCCUAAAAUUAUUCAGCGUGACUUUGACUUACCCCGAAACUAUUUUGGUCUGAUCAAAGCAACUGUCUACCCUCCUAUGGGUUUGUUUAUACCAGUGUUGCCUUACAAGGGACCUCAAGGAAAACUUUUCUUUCCCCUUUGUUGCACCUGCAGUGAAAACAACAACCAGGAAAACCCUUGUGAUCACUCAGAUCAAGAAAGAGCCCUGACAGGUGUAUGGGUCACAGUUUAGUUCUCUAAGGCUCUAGAGAUGGGUUAUCGUGUGGCCAAAAUCUUUGAAGUGUGGAACUUUUCCAGGAAAUCAGACACUCUUUUUAAAGAGUACAUCAAGACCUUCUUGAGAUGCGAGCAAAUGGCUUUAGGCUAUCCUGCAUCGGUCACAGAUCAAAAGAGCAAAGACAAGUACAUUCAAGACUAUCACGACAGAGAAGACAUCCUUCUUGACCCUGACAGAAUAGAGGUCAACAAAACCAAAAGAAAUGUGUAGAAAUUGUACUUGAACUCGCUUUGGGGCAAGCUUUCGCAGAGAUGCAAUAUGCUAACAACGUGGAUCAUUAAAAACCAACAAAAUAGAACCGGAGUCCUAUUCCAUUAUUCCUAGCUGCGGUAUUCAGGCGACCG